GUUGGUCAACCUACAUGGUCUGUUGGAAAGGCAUCACCCCAAGCCUCCACUACCAAUAAGCAGGAGCAGAGAAUGAAGAGGAUGGAAAAGCUCAAAAGGGAUCUCCAGAAGAUCAAAAAUGAGAGAGAUGGACUCCAGGGAAUCCUAGCCAAUUACACUAACAAGGAUUUGAACAACAGGUAGACAUUCAUGCUCAAGAUGCAACAUGACCAGUUGAUGACUGACCUGAAGAGCAUGCCCCAGGACAUCAGUGAGGCCUUAUACAAGUACAAGGAGUUGACUAAAGAAAAUCAAUUCUACUGGUGAGUGACUAACAGGGUCCAUCGGGCACUGCCACCUCCAGAGUGAAUCUAACCAUCUCCAGCACAAAAAACAUCUCCUUCCACACAAAGUCAGGAUGUUGUGGAAGGAGAACAGACAGUUGCUAGAGGAGCAGAUUGCAUUAGAAGAAUGCUCCAAAGAAUCAAAGAGGCUGUGUAAAGAAGGCAGCCUGAAGACCAAUGACCUAUGUAUCAAGCAGCAGCAGGUAGGAUGCAU
rnacentral:lncRNA from 1 species